CCUACGGGAGGCAGCAGUAGGGAAUCUUCCACAAUGGGCGAAAGCCUGAUGGAGCAACGCCGCGUGGGUGAAGAAGGUCUUCGGAUCGUAAAACCCUGUUGUUAGAGAAGAAAGUGCGUGAGAGUAACUGUUCACGUUUCGACGGUAUCUAACCAGAAAGCCACGGCUAACUACGUGCCAGCAGCCGCGGUAAUACGUAGGUGGCAAGCGUUAUCCGGAUUUAUUGGGCGUAAAGGGAACGCAGGCGGUCUUUUAAGUCUGAUGUGAAAGCCUUCGGCUUAACCGGAGUAGUGCAUUGGAAACUGGGGGACUAGAGUGCAGAAGAGGAGAGUGGAACUCCAUGUGUAGCGGUGAAAUGCGUAGAUAUAUGGAAGAACACCAGUGGCGAAAGCGGCUCUCUGGUCUGUAACUGACGCUGAGGUUCGAAAGCGUGGGUAGCAAACAGGAUUAGAUACCCCAGUAGUC
rnacentral:rRNA from 1 species